CCCUUAGAUGUUCUGGGCCGCACGCGCGCUACACUGACUGCUCCAACAAGUUACCUGGGCUGACAAGCAUCCGGGAAAUCUUGCAAAGGCAGUCGUGAUGAGGAUAGAUUCUUGUAAUUUUUGAUCUUCAACGAGGAAUUCCUAGUAAACGCAAGUCAUCAGCUUGCAUUGAUUACGUCCCUGCCCUUUGUACACACCGCCCGUCGCAUCUACCGAUUGAAUGGAGAGGCAAAAUCUUCGGACCGUGACGCUUGGGAGUCAAAUCUCGGGCUGUCGUGGGAAGUGGAUUAAACCUUUCUAUUUAGAGGAAGGUAAAGUCGUAACA
rnacentral:rRNA from 1 species